UACGGAGGGUGCAAGCGUUAUCCGGAUUCACUGGGUUUAAAGGGUGCGUAGGCGGGCAGGUAAGUCAGUGGUGAAAUCUCCGAGCUUAACUCGGAAACUGCCGUUGAUACUAUUGUCUUGAAUAUUGUGGAGGUAAGCGGAAUAUGUCAUGUAGCGGUGAAAUGCUUAGAUAUGACAUAGAACAUCAAUUGCGAAGGCAGCUUACUACACAACGAUUGACGCUGAGGCACGAAAGCGUGGGGAUCAAACAGG
rnacentral:rRNA from 1 species